CAGGCCCAAGAGGUGUUGAACAUUGCUGAUGAGGAAUCAGGUACCUUCAACAUUAUGUGACUGCAGAGUGUGCUCUGAGGCAGCUGAAACAAUAUUUGAAGGAAGAAUGUGAAAACAUUUUGGGCCACUGGGUAUCAGGCAGCAGGGUUGCUGUGCUAAUGAAAAUUUGGAACACCAUUGCAAACUGGAGUGUUGGACAGCAGCAGGAAUUUCUCUGUGCUGUUUAUGAGGUAUAUAAAAAGGAAAACUGAUGAAAAGGGAAAACCUUUGAAAAACUCUUCAGUUCCAGCUCUAUUUCUAUUGUCUAUCAACGUAUUGCAAGCAGGAAAAAAAUGAAACAUCAGGAACUAAAACUAUGCAAAGAAGACAGGCUGAGGGCCUUGUAGGUAUGGGACAGAAAGAGGCGUGGCAUGUGCUGGAGAUGGAGCUGAAGGACUAAGAAUGCUGGCAAGCUGGGUGCUGAUCCUUGAACAAUGUUG